rnacentral:lncRNA from 1 species
ACUGUUACAGAGGAAGUAGACAUAGACAUGGGAUGCCUUGCAGAGGUCAAAGAACCAAGACUAAUGCUCGCACUAAGAAGGGUAAGAGAGUUGCCAUUGCGGGAAAGAAGAAAGCUCCUCGCAAAUAGAACUGCUAAGACCUUUCUGUGGUACCACUCUACUACUCUGUUGGGAUGAAAAUUUGAUCAAUAACUGCCAUUGCAGAGGAAGAAGAGAACUUCCUAGCAAACAUGCUCUUGAACUUGUUCUUGUUCUGUAAUACUCUCCAGCUUCUCUAGUUUCUUGUUUGCUUCGUUAUCCUCAUAACACGAAUAAAAACGUUAGCCCAUUAACAACUUUUUAUUAGUCACCGAGCCUCUUGAUCUGGUAGAAUUAAAGAGUAAUUAUUCUAUUGUUAACUUAUUCCAUCGAAGCCCAAUGGAUGAAGCCCAUUAAAUUGUUUUGGAACCCAUUAGAAGAAUCCAAGGUCAGCAUUGAAGCUACAAACAAAAUUUAUAUUUUAUAUCACAAAAUUUCAUUGAUUCGUUUGAUAUUUUGUUUAUAUGAUACAAAAAACAUAUGAUAUGUGAGAGGACACGAAUCAUGGGGAACAAGAUAUCGAAUUAGGAUCCCAAGAAAUGAGACCAAACGAUUUUGAAAUUGAUAGAACAAGGAGACCAAUUUGGUAAAUGGACUAGUCGAUGCCUACUUGACCCGAUCACAUUUAUGUACUAACAGUCAUCUCUACUUGUCCAUUUAUUUUGUUCGUCUAAAUCACCCUACCCGUCAUUUUCUAAGUUUUUUUUUGCUUUUGAACCAUUACUUAAGUGGGCCUUUCUUAUUCUAUGGGCCCAUUUAAAUGGACCCACAACCAUGUGAUCCAUCUUUUCUUUUCUUCUCUUCAGAUUUAUUUUGCCUAUUUUGUAAUUGCGCUCGUGAUAUAUACUCCACUUUCUACUACUUGACAAGAUAUAUGCCCUUAAGAGACCUUUCAUGUAAAAAGCAAAAAAGAAAAAACAAGAGAUAUUUUAUAGAACAAUCCAUGGAACUAUAUAAAUCCACAAAUAUAGAUGAUAUAUGUGGCAAGAGUUUUUAGCUAUUGUUUUGAAUUAUUAACAACAUGUAUAUAAAAUAUAAAAGGUAUAAAGCUAUUAUACAACGACACAAAACCAAGCUUGGAUAACUACCACGUAAUGGAACAAAAGAGAGAAACAGAAACAAAAUAAAAUUUUAUUUCAUCUUUUAAAAAAAAAAAUUGUCUGUAUUUAUUUAAGGGCUUAUUGGCUUACUAGCCAUAUUUAAAAAGAAAAUCAAGAGAAUAGACAUGAUUUUGACAGAAUGUAGUGACUGUCUUUUUACAAUCAUUCCAGCCGGUUAUACCCUUGUUAGUAACAGGUAUCCGGUUUCUUCACAUAAAGAAAACGACGUGGUGAUUUUGUGACCCAUAGUAAUAAUGAGCGAAUUUUAAAAGCGCGUGAAAUGAAACGGCGAAAUAGAAGAUAAUGAAACGUAUAUUCUAUACCGAUUACAAGCGUUCCAUACUAAUUUGGGUAGAAUAGUAUCACUGUAAAUCCAAUUCCAAUUGAAAGAGCAGCAACACUGAAAAUUUAGAUAUAAACUAAUGAACUAAAUCACUAAACCCAACUUAGAAAUAGAAACCAUUGACACAAUCAAUGUUUAAGCUAAAGAAAAUGAUAGUAGACCGUCUUAUAUUUCUAACGACUACAAAGAAAGUUAAUUUCCAUUUAACAACUACGAAUAAAAAAACUUGAAGUAUACUAUUUUAUUUAGCGGCGAACUAUUCCAUAUGCUAAAGUAUAAAUGAGUAAGUUAAUGAUUAUAAGUCUUAUAGAGUUACGUACACAGUCGCACAAUCUAUUACGAGAAUAUUUCUAUUCAAUCUAACCCGUACUAUUUAAAAUGGUACUAUGUACACAGUCGAUCCAUGUUUGACCAACAUGAAAUACAAAGCUAAUGGAAUGAUAAUAGAAUACUUGACAGUAAACACUAAACCCAAAUUAGGGAAACAUAAACCCCAAUCCACCUUCCAUAAUACUGGAGACAUGUAUUUACAGUCCUCAUGAGCAACAUGAAAUACAAAGUUAAUGGGGAUGGUAAUAGAACACUUGACAUUAAACACUAAACCCAAGUUAAGUAAAUAUAAACCCCAAAACAUAGGCAAACCAAACCUUCGGGAAAUUAAAUCCACGUCUUAUAAUACUGGAGGUAUGUAUUUGUGAUUUUUUGAAAGAAGAAAAAGCCAUCCACGUAUAACUUUAUUGAUCACAUACAUAAGCAUCGAGAGUUAUAUUCCAUAUCAUCUAAGUUUUAUUCUAUAUCAGAUAAAAACUAAACCCUAAAAUCUAAUCACUAAAUCCUAACCCAAAUAUAAACUCUAAACUCAUAUAUCAAAAUCUAAAAAAUACAUAAUGGUAUGUAAUAUUAAAUUAAAUUAUGUUAUAUUAAAUUAUAUUAUGUAAUAUGCCAAUUCUAUAUCACCAAAAUUAGAACACAUGAUAUGAAAGUUCAGAAAUGUUCUAUUCCAUAUCCAAACAAAAUAGAAACAAGUAAUGCUUUCCCAAUAUUCCAGAAACUAAACCCUAUCCAAUCAUCACGAAACCCUACACGAAAAUAUAAAACCCAACCUAUAUAUCAAAAUACGUAAGUUUUAAAUUUUUAUGAAUUGAGAAGCAAAAUAAGGUGAUAUUAAACGUUCCAAUUUAUUCCAUAUCAUCUAAGUUUUAUUCUAUAUCAUCUGCACUAUUCCAUUUAUAUACAACACUGUCUGUCACCCACCGAACCUUCGAAAAUGGUCUUUUCCUCCACAAAACUUCUCUAAGAAUGUAGUCAAUAGUAUCUUUGUCGCUCAAAUCUGAAAAUGAAUUUAUUAACCUUUCUAUAUUUUAUCAAUGAAAAUUUACUUUAUUAGAUAUGUGAGAAUAACCAAGGUCACGUUUUUUCUUUUUACAGUCACUAAUUAUUAAUUAUGAUUACUUUUUUUUUCUUGCAAGUUUCACCGGUGGAAUGAAAGGAUAGUAUAACAAUAUUAUAGAAAAGACAAACAGUGUAUUGAUAUAUUAGGGAAAUUAGCUAUAAAGUGAAUUAUGGUUUUUUUCAACGUCAUACAGCCCAAUUUCCCUUGAUCUUUAACCUCAACUUAUAAAGCAUUUUUUUCGAGUAAGAAGCGCUAGACCAUCACUACGUAAUUAUGAUGUUGCAAAACGAAAUAAGUUCUUUUAAAAAAAAUUGGAGAUGGUUUAUAAGUAGUUGUUUGUAAUGUUUUUUCUUCAUCAAACAGUCCUUUUUGUAAUGUUCUUUUAACAAAAUAAUUUAGUCGUCUUUAUAAUAUGUUAAUACCCCUUAAUAUUAAGUUAUGAAAAAUAACUAUGCAUACAUUAGGCCGAAUUUUUUUUUUUUUUUUGAAAAUUAUGAAUACUAGAUAUGUUCUUUGCGAGUGAAAAAUAUGUGAUUUUAAUCAAAACUGGUUGUUUUCCAGAUAAAUGAAAGAAAACAGAAAUUAUACUGUUUUUGGCAUCUUGUUAUCCUGCAUUAUGUGGCGAGGAGAGGAUAAGGACAGAAAUUAGAAAUGUAUUACACAACUUCUAUUACCAUCAAGAAUAAAAAUAAGAAUAACAUCAUUUUAUUGUGAUCCAUCAAAAAAGAAAAUAAUUUAAAAUUUAAAACAUUAAAAUUCGCCCUUUCCUUCUCUCACAGAUCAUUCUAGGGUUGCUGACAAAAGAAAGGAGCCCUAUUACCUUUUUCUCUUUCCUUUUUUGUUGAGCUCCAGCUUUUUUCUCUUCUCCUCGACGUUGAGUUCAUCCACAGAUCUGUCACAAUUAUCUUCUGCUGAGAAAUUCCUGAUUUAAAAUUAACCCUUUCUUACUGUAUAUCUCUUCUUCAACUAAUCUGCCAACAUUUCUUCUUGCUAAAUACAUAGACGGUGAGGGCUCAAGUUUAAAAUAUGGGGAGAGGGCAAAAAACAUCUUAAAAAUUAUAAUUUUCAAAAAUAUGAAAAAAAUAUAAUACAAUUUUGACGAUGAAACCGUUAAUCUUAGAAUCAACAAAUGCGUAGAUGCAAAGUUAUUGAAAUUCAAUAUUAGUUUACGUUAGGGGCUCAUUUGACUACUAACAAGUAUACACACAACAACACAUUAUUCAAAAAAAAACAGACAAAAUAUAUUAACUUAUCACCUACUACAUAACAAACUAAAAACAUCAAAUAAUGAUCUUAACAAAUAAAAACGAUAACAUAAUUACAUUAUCCAAAAAAAAAUCAUUCUCUUAACAAUAAUAAAACAAUAUUCCGUCGCGCGGACACCCCCUAGUUUAUAUAUAUGUUGGGGUUGAACAAAAUGAUAAACAUUUUACUUUGGUCUCUUUCUCUGUAGUUUCAUGGACUGCGUGUGCAAGGAAUCCGUGUGGGAAACGCAGAGGUUCCAAACCACAAGCCCCUCAAAACCGGUCUUCAAGAAGUUUACGGAAUAGGACGCCGUAAGUCUCACCAGGUUCUCUGUGGGCUCGGCAUCACCAACAAACUUGCCAGAGACUUAACUGGUAAAGAGCUUAUUGACCUCCGUGAAGAAGUUGGCAUGCACCAACAUGGUGAUGAAUUGGUACAAACCCUUUUCUCAGUAUCAUAUACUUUUUAACUUUCUUUUAUUUUUUAAAGCUUGUUUGGUUUCCAUCAUUGUUGUUGUUGGUAUGAAGAGGAGGCGUGUUGGAUCGGAGAUACAGAGACUGGUGGAAGUAGACUGUUACAGAGGAAGUAGACAUAGACAUGGGAUGCCUUGCAGAGGUCAAAGAACCAAGACUAAUGCUCGCACUAAGAAGGGUAAGAGAGUUGCCAUUGCGGGAAAGAAGAAAGCUCCUCGCAAAUAGAACUGCUAAGACCUUUCUGUGGUACCACUCUACUACUCUGUUGGGAUGAAAAUUUGAUCAAUAACUGCCAUUGCAGAGGAAGAAGAGAACUUCCUAGCAAACAUGCUCUUGAACUUGUUCUUGUUCUGUAAUACUCUCCAGCUUCUCUAGUUUCU